UCCGUAGGCGGGCGAUUAAGUCAGAGGUGAAAUCCCACAGCUCAACUGUGGAACUGCCUUUGAUACUGGUUGUCUUGAGUUACAGUGAAGUAGAUAGGAUAUGUAGUGUAGCGGUGAAAUGCAUAGAUAUUACAUAGAAUACCGAUUGCGAAGGCAGUCUACUAACUGUAUACUGACGCUAAUGGACGAAAGCGUGGGGAGCGAACAGGAUUAGAUACCCUGGUAGUC
rnacentral:rRNA from 1 species